UCAACACUUAGCAUUUUUGCUGGAUUUGCUUUAUCUAUGUAUGUGUGUGUGUAUAUAUAUAUAUUUUUUUCUGUUCUUUCUUUCUUUCUUUCUUUCUUUCUUUCUUUCUUUCUUUCUUUCUUCCUGCUGAACCAUUUGAAAUAAGUUGCAAACAUUGUGAAACUUUACAUACUACUUACUACUACAUAUAGGUAGUAUAAGAGAAAGGACAAGAGAAAGGACGUUGAGAAAGGACAAGAGAAAGGACAUGCCCAAGAGAAAGGACAUUUUCCUACAGAAUCACCAUAUAAUUGUCACACUUUUAAAACUUAACAGCAAAUCCAUAAUAUCAAUACCCAAUCCAUAUUCAGACUUCCCCCAUUUAUCCCCAGAAUGGUUUUCCCCCACUCAAUAAAUGUUUAUUGAGUAUUGGAACAUUAUUUAUUGUUCAUUGAACAGUGUGUAGUGAACAUUAUUGAACAUCUGCUAUUAUAAAUCACUGUGGAAAAUACAAAAAUAAAUUUAAAAAACUAAAUAAACUAGGCAUGUUCACUAUCCUCAGGAACAAUCUAGUGUGGGAGAUACAAACAUACACAUAAUAUACACAUACAUAUACACAAAAUAUCAUGCAAGGCAGACUGCAGAUAAAACUCUGUAAGACAUAGGGUCAUUGAUUCCUUCUGGAAGGGGGUUCCUCCCACUGUAGCAUGUUGGGAGAACUGCCAACUCCCUGGUCCUAACCCAGAUCCCUCUCUGCUCAAUCUUCAGAUUCAAAUUUGAAGGAUAUUUGGUUUCAGACCAAAAAUAUAUUUGUCAGCUGUCUUUACUGAACUAAGAUUUUUAGUCAAGGUUCAUACAUUACAUUUGGUGGUUGGUCUGUUUCUUCAAUUUCUCUUGAUUCACAGCUCUGUGUGUGCAUGUGUGUGAUACUGACAUCUUAUAAAGACCAGGACCAACUGACUUACAGAAUGUCCCUCAUUCUGGGUUUGUCUGAUUGUUUCCUUGUGGUAUCAUUUACUCUGUUUCUCUGUCUAUACUUUCCCUGGUAUUUCUUUAUAAACUGGAAGCUGGGUCUAAAGGCUUGAUUGAUUUCAGCUUAAACAUUUUGGUGAAGAAUGUAGGUGUUCUUGCUGCAUACUUUGUAUUGUAUCACAUAAGGAGAUAGGUACUGAAUGUCAGGUGUUUCUACCAUUACAGUUCUGUUAAGUUUGAUCAUAUGAUAUGAUCGUGACCGCCAAGCUUCCCCUGGUGAAGGUGUACUUUUUCCCUUUGCAGUGAGCAACUUACUACCAGGGCUAUUGUGACUUGCAGGUGUCCUCUUCUCUGGCAACAGAGUGAUUUUAUCAUUCUAAUGAUAAAAUUUAAUGGUUUUCAUAUCUAUUGAUGAUCCUUGCCUGAAUCAAUUAUUUCUUUGGUGGGUCACUUCAAAACUGUAAUUAUGUGGGGCUGUCCCAGACGUUAAUAGAGGCAUUGCAUAACAUCACCUUUCUUAAGUCUAGAACAGUCUCAAUUCCAAAACUCCCAGGCCCCAAGGUUUGCAGAUGUGGGAUUAUAAAGAAGUAGGAGGAAAAGUAGAAUGUCUUUGUGUCACAGGAACAAGGAAGAACUUUUUCAAGCACAAAAAGGCAAAAACGUAGUUGGUAUUUAAAGCCUCCAUACUCAGAAGGGAGAAGAUGUAGAAAGAGAAUAGUAGAGGGUCAGGACUGAGCCGUGGGCAUCAACUAUUAUCCUGGGGUUGGGAGGAAGAGGAGAAAACAAAACAGGAGACAGAAGGAGCCACUAGCAGGGUGAGAGGAAAGCCGAAAGAGUGCAGCACGGAAGCCAAGUAAAGAGAGCACGUCAGAGAGGAGCGCUGGCCUGGCCUGUGCCCCUGGGAGAGCCCGUGCAGAUGAGGACCCAAAAGCGACUUGUAGGUUUGGUGGCACCAGGCCAGCGGUGCCCUUGAUGGGCCGUUUUGACGGGAGUGGUGAAGGCAGAAGUCUCAUGGAGGUGGGUGUGGGGUGAGAGGGAAGAGGCAUUAACAAGUAUGGACAACCUUUUGGAGGAGUUUGGAUGCAAAAUGAAAAAAAAAAAAAAAAUGAGAGAUAGCUGUCAGGGGAAGCUGAGUCAAGAGAAGGCAUUUUUCCAAAAUUGCUGAAAUCCCAGCAUAUUUGUUUGCUGAUGGGAAUGAUUCAGUAAAGAGCAAAAAGGUAAAACAGCCACAUUCCGAAAAUCAUGAUCCACGUUUCACGAGCACACCUGUAAAGCAGGGUGUGCACGUAAAGUACAUUAAAGGGUACCUCCUGGAGCGGAAGGUCUGCAGGGAGGCGAAUGGAAUGACUUGAGGGUGAAAGGAAACGAGAUAGGCCUUGCACAGCCCCGUGGGCCAUGAACUGUGGGCUGUGUUAAAUCGGCCUUGGCAACCAGAGGGCAGGAACAAAGACCAGCAAAGAGCAGCGUGAUGUCUCUGACCUGUUGCAGUGACACCACCAGUCAGCCAGCCCCCCACCCACAGACAUGUGAGGUGACAGGUCACUUGUAAAGUCUCACAAUGCUCCCUUUCCCUGGAAACUGCCGACGGGUGCCCUCCAUCCUAAGGAGGGAGCAAACCGAGAAAGAGGAAAACCUGGAAUCCCGGGAAGGGGAUCUAGCAAAGGAGGAGAUGUUGUACAGCUGGGCCUCUUUCACACAGUUCCAUGAAGUGUGAUAUUCAUUCAUCCAGCAGAUAUUUUCAAGAGUCUGUCAUAUGCCAUGGUCUGGGAACACAGCAGGGAAAGAAAAAGACUCUGCCUUCAAGGAGCUUAUAUUGUAAUGGGGGUGACAGAUAGCCGGCGCAGCGGUGGUGAAUGCUAAGAAGAAAAUAAAACACAUUGGGCUGGGGAGGGUGGAUCGAGAUUGGUGUCUGUUAGAGGGGUUGUCUAAGGAGGUGAGAGGGAACUAGCAGAUGUCAGAGGAAAGGGCAUCAUAGGGGACCAAAAAGCAAGUGUAACAACGUGGUGGGGGCAGGUGGAGGAGGGUCACCUUUCUCAAAUGCUGCUGAUUGUUGGAGAAUUGACUUUAAGAUAGCACCAUGGAGAGGUCCUUGGUAAUCUUGGUAAUGGCAGUUUUGGGGUUUGGGCCAGUUCAAAAGGAAUGGAAGGAGAGGAAGUGAAGAAGACCGCAGAUAAUUCCUUGUUGGUGUUCCUCAUUGUAAAUGGGGCAGUUGCCGAAGGUGUGGGUGAUACUGAGAGUGUUGUAGAAGCUGGGGACUAGCACAUGUAUGCGGACUCGGUAGAGAGGGAAAAUGUGUUUUUGGGUUUUUUUGUUUUUUUAUUUUUAUUAUUUUUUUUAACGUUUAUUUUUGAGACAGAGCAUGAACGGGGGAGGGUCAGAGAGAGGGAGACACAGAAUCUGAAACAGGCGCCAGGCUCAGCUGUCAGCACAGAGCCUGACGCGGGGCUCAAACUCACGGAGUGUGAGAUCAUGACCUGAGCCGAAGUCGGCCACUUAACCGACUGAGACACUCAGGCGCCCCGGGAAAAUGUGUUUAGUGGAACUUGUAAGUGGCCCUCUGGUGUGCUUUAGUAAAUGUUAAAUGACCCUGAUCAUGAGGUAGGGAGCCCUGGAAGGCCUGGUUCAGUUUUCUCUUUCUCUUGGCGGUCCCUCUUCUCCAUACUAAAAGUAAGUCCUAAGUGUUUGCACUGUUCUCAAAAUAUCUCAAGAUAGUGGAUAAUCUUUUAUCUGUAAUCUUUUAUUACACAAAUGGUUCUGAACUUUGGGGUUACAAACCUAAACCUUUUGACAGGCUAUGGAUCUGUUCCCCAGAAAAAAAACAUACCUACCACAGAACCUGGCAUAUUAUUUCAGGUUGAUGGAUCCUAUGGUGUCUAUUCUAGAAGUGUUCAGGUCAAGAAGCUGCAUGUUCAGUGCAUCCACUAGACAGUCACCUAAGGCUAGGAAAAUGGCAGAAAGAAUAAGAACUCUGUGGCCUUGUUAUCUCUCUUCUUCCCUAAUAGAUUAUCAGUUCCUCGAGGGUAGAAAUUAUAUUCAGUGUUUCACCAUGUUUCCUAACCCCUUAAUAACUAGAGUAAAAAUGAAUGGACAGACAGACUGACCCACUUGGUUGCUCAUCCUGUUUGAGUGUGGCAGAUGGCUGGCCUCAAGAGAUGAUAUCGUGCUGCAGUAAUUUUUAGUAGAGUCAGGGAACCCCAGCUACUUCCCCCUUUUAAAAUUCAAUCCUUUAGGAGAAUAACCAUGUCUCCUAAAGUAUUUUGCAUUCAUUUCCUAUUACUGCUAUAACAACUUAUCACAAAUUUGAUAACAUAAAUUUACUCAUACAUUUUUGGAGGUUAAAGUCUGAAAUGGUCUGACUGGGCUAAAAUCAAGGUGUUGGCAGGAAUGCAUUUCUUCUGGAGGUUCUAGAACAGAAGCCGUUCCCUAAUCUUUCCAGCUUGUAGAGGCUCCUGCUUGUCUUGACUCAAUGGCAUCUUCCAUUCUUCAAAGCCCACAGCCUAGCAUCUUCACAUCUGACUCUGAUGUCUGCUCCCCUGAUUCUCAGGUCAGUCUCAUCCCCUUCUAAGGAGGAGACUUGUGAUUACACUGGGCCUCCCUGGUUAAUCCAGGAUAAUCUUCUGUUCUAAGAUCCUUAAAUUAUCCCAUCUGUGAGCCCUUUUCGUCAUGGAAAGUAACAUUCCCAGGUAUCCGGGAUUAGGAUCUGGACGUAUUUGGGGGACCAUUAUUCUGCCUGUCACACGCUUGUAUGGCUUUUUACACAUAUGUUUUUGUUAAUGGCUAGGCUGGCCAAAGAAAAAAAUGGGGAGCUCACGGAGGCUGGGCGACUUGGCAUUGGCGACGUCACUUGGGACUUGAAUGCCAGAAUUCUGAGUCCAGACCCAUGUUGUUCCGUUCUGUUUGGUUGCUUGGUUUUUUGUUUGUUGAUUCUUUUGUCUUCCACGGAUUUCAUUAAGUGAUAUUUAUGGGUAUUUAGGUUCCUGAUGCCAAUAUUUUGUGAAGGGAUGUAGUGACUUGAAAUGAGGGGAUGUUAAAAUCUGUGCAAAAAUGGUCACCAAGCCAAAAAUGUCAGCAUGCAGAAGGACUUCCCAGUUUACGGGGUCCUCCCGUUUCAUACAUGCGUGUAAGGCGCAGUACAGGGUCAGCCUGCUGGCUUGACAUCUUGUCCACUGACAUACAUGUGAUUCUAUAUGUCACAUCAUAUCACAGUGUUUGGCUGCCCUGCCAGCCAGAUUACGUUUCCUUAGGAGACCCCUGACUUUCUUCACCUGGCACUGGUACCGUGAAUAGGGAUUUGUGAGGUAUUGCCCUGUUUCUGCCACCACGUCGGAGUGUCUUCCUCUUGCUGUCCCCUCUCCCUCUCCCCUGUUUGUCUACCAGACUCAAAGUAAUCUGAACCAGAGAUGAAGAAAACCAGUCCAGUAGCACACUUUAUAUGUCUUGAUAGUGGUCAUACACUAUUUUAGGAAGCUUAGAAUUCAUGAUCCUUCUAGCUCGUGCUUUGUGUCUGGAGGGUCCCUGGGGAAUCCUUUUUGAACUCAUUGGUUGGUCAGUACCUCAGAGCUCUCCAGGGUCUUUCCAUCUCCUCCUCUGCGGUACUCACGGCCGUGCAUGACAGAAAAGCAAAGGCUGAAGCAUGAAGGUCUUCUCUUACCCUUACAGUUCCCUUUGAUAAGAUGGAUCGCUCUACUGCUGUCAGACUAUCAAAACAGCCCCAUUCUGUUCUUCGGCUUCUUCCUCUUUAGAUUCCAUUUCAAAGCACAGUUGUGGCCUCAAGGACUGUGUCCUCCGAGUCCUUGCUUCCAUCUACCUCUGUGUUGGAGGUACAGCUGAGCAGAGGAUGCCCUGCUGGGAAGGGGCCAGGUCUAGGCCCAGGCAAGAAGCCAACCAACAUUCACUCUGCCAAGUAACCGAGCUCAGCCUGCAGAAGUGCUGCGUGCCAGGGCCCAGGCUGGAGGGGGUAGUUGUUAGGACGGGAGUACCGCAGCACGCGCUCUGCAUCCUGAGAGGACACUGGGAGCUGCGGAAGAGCCUGCCAGCAGACCUCCAGGAAGGCCGGGGCUGUCGGCAUCGAUAGGGCCAGGCAAAUGGUGUUUUUCACGAUGAGCCGUCACUUAGCUGUUUAGUGUCACGUCCAUUUGCCUGGUGAGUCGGAUUCUGGUUGAACAUGAUAUAGUAGUACAUUCAACUGUUUUCCUCCUCUCCAAGUGAAAUUCCCAUCGGCCAUAUGGACGCUAGGGUAGACAAUGCCUUCAGAAACUCAGAAGUAAACUAUUGAUUCUGUACAGAUUUUGUGUGAGACUUUCCUUCUCUGUCCCUUCCCUUACACUCCUUUUCGUCUCCAAUUCCACCUCCAAAAGCAUACAUAUGCACACUUUAGUUAAAAAAAAACAACAACAAAGUUCGUUAAAGGUUCAUUUUUAAAUAAAUCAGUCAAGACCCCAGGACUUGAAAAAGAGUAUAAACAGGGGAGAACCAGGCCAGUGAUAGGGUGAUUCUCAGCACAGUCCGGGCUGUGGGCACUGCUGUGAAUGACGGUAGACCUGCGCGGCUGGUGUCCUGCUCAGACGGUGUCCCCCUCUGGAAUUGGAAGAAGUGAGGCCCCCUUCUGUUGCUCAUCAGUCCACAGAUCCUCUGCAGGUAAUAACUGCCCUUUUUUGCCUCAAGACCAGAUUUUAUUGUUCCUUUGUCUUUUUUGAGGUGACCCACAUCACCUUGGCCCCAUUCAUUGCUGUUGAGUUUAGGAAGAAAAGGCUGAGGAUUUCUGCCCACUCCUAAGAGUGUUCUCUGGCAUUGCCCAGACACUGGAAGGCCCACUCCAACAGUGGCUAUGGGUAUCAGGUCCAAGGCCCAUAGGUGUGUGGUAUACAAAGGAUUGGAAUGAAGUUGGGGCAGCCAAUGAGAGGAAAGCAUGGUAUUCAGCUAGUAACUAGUCAUUUCCUGGCCGGACCUGUUUCUCCCGUUGCCUAGCUUUUGGGUGAUCACUAAUAUCUAAGAAUUUAAAGAAAUUCUGGCUUGACUCUUUAGAUAUUAGAUCAUCUUCCUCUUAUAAUCCAUGAUCCGUCCUUUAAAUAAGACCUCUCUAAAACAAAAGCCAAAUGUUCACCUGGAGUCUACAUGCACACUUUUCAAAUCAUGAUUGGAUGCCCCUAAACUUGCCUAAGCAUGGUAGCCAGGUGACAAAGGAUUAUAAUUUGACACUGAUCUUUCCUGGCUCCUAGUUGGGGACUUGAUCACGCUCACUCUAAGGCUUUUUUCUGUAUUCAUACCUCAGGCUUGGGUCGUCAGACCCUCAGGUCCCCACUUAACCCUCUCCCCAACACUCCCUCCUAAGCAGACCUUUUAGGGCCUCUGUCUGGAAGAAAUGGGUUAGAGUGUCAAAGGGAACAGAACUAAUUAGUAGCCAUAGCUCUGGUUCCUGGCAAAUGCCUUUCCUAUUCUUCACUUGACUGGAAUGCUGCUGUUGGGCUCCACCUGCCUAGAAUUGCUGUAGCAGUAGGGUGGGUUUGAUGUCAUCAGGCACAUUUCCAUGCACACAGAUCUUCCCUUUGUUCCCUCUGUAGAUAUCUUCAUUGAGCCUGUUUUCAUUUGCAGCAAAUGAACAGGAAUACUACAUGUAUUGGGUAUAUGAUUGGGAUUCAUUCUGUAUAUAUUUUAUUUAUUUAUUUGUUUGUUUGUUUAACGUUUAUUUCUGAGAGAGAGACAAUGCGAGCAGGGCAGGGGCAGAGAGAGAGGGAGACACAGAAUCCCAACCAGGCUCCAGGCUCCAAGCUGUCAGCACAGAGCCCAAUGUAGGGCUCAAACUCAUGGACCGUGAAAUCAUGACCUGAGCCGAAGUCGGACGCCCAACCGACUGAGCCACCCAGGCGCCCCCAGUCCGUAUAUAUUUUUAAAUACCCAUAUAUGUAUUUUUCAUAUAUUCACUGAUUCUAAGGCACAUACAUUUCACAAUUUAACAACUCGAAAAUCAAGAUGUGUCAUAUAGUCACAUCUUAAAAUUAUAAUUGGCAGGAGUUUUUUCCUCUCUUGAAGGUUCAUAACGGUGUCUUUAAAUUGAUGACCAUCUUAGAGUCCACAAAAUAUACUAUGUAGGGUCAGCUCAUUUUCCAUUUCUUUGCCUGAAGAAUUUGUGAGUUUCCUCAACUAGGCAGAUGUUAACAGUAAGCCUCAGUAUAUUUGAGCUGUACUGAGUACAGCCUGGUAAAAUGGCCACUCCACGUUCCACAUGACUUUUUCUCUGCACAGAACACUCGCACAUCCGUCUUUGAUUGGGCUUUAGAACAGUGUUGGGCACUAUGCAGAUACUGCUAAGUGUCUUGCACCAGACCACCUGGCUAGUGACUGGGAGAGCCUGGUUGUUCUGACUCCUGAUAGGAUUUUCUUUCCUUCAAACCCAUCAGCCUAGAAUCCAGAAACAGCAAAAAUAUUUUGGGGGUGGAAUAUACUGUGCUUAGAGUAGAGAAUGGAGAACACUACUGAGAGAAUCUUUAUAGUAGGUAAAAAUUGAGAAUCUAAACACCCACAGAAGAAAAGAGUUAAGCACAUUGUCACUAUAGAAUGCAUAGACAUUGAAAAUGACAAGUACGCGGAUUGUUGCUGAUGCAAGGAAGUCUGUAUACUUAAAAAGCAGAAUAUGAAUAUCCAAACAGAGAGGAUUCUGGGAAGAUAGUGGCUGGAAUGCACGUCUCAUCUUUUCGACUUCCAGUGCCAGCUGUUUACCUCUUCCAGCUAAGCAGGGGAUGGGCAGCCACGGCCCAGAAGGAGUUAGAAAGGCCGAGCUCCUGAGAAAACGCCAAGACAUAGAAGUGAUGGAAGAGAUGAGAGACCUAGAAGAUGUAACCACGACGUUUGUCAUACAACUAAUAGGAAUACUAGAAGGAGGAAGAGGUAGAGGAAGAGUGUAUUAGGACAGGCUAGAGCUAGAUUUGUAAUGUAGUAACAGUGCCACAAGCUCAAUAGUUUAACUCCACACAUUGAUUUUUUUCCCCCACACUGCAGUAUCCAACAGGUCAAGGGGUGGGGGGCGUGGGGUGGUGGUCUGCUCGUUGGUCCUCAGGAAGCUGAGGUGGUAGAGGGUCCAUCCCAGUGCGGCAGUGCGGGUGUGUGGCGACGGUGAGCUGGUGCUUAAAGUCUGCUUGGCAGUGCAUACGUCCCUUCCACUUGCAUCUCACUAGUCCAGGCAAAUCACAACCCACCUUUACCUUCAGAGGGAGUAAUAAGCAAGCGCAGUCCUACUGUAAUGUAUAGCUGGAAGGAGGAAUGCCAGAAAUACUUGGUGAACGGCACUCCUGACUUACCGCUGGCGGAAAUAACUAAGGCACAUCUAAGCAUAUCCUGGUAAAAUAACUGAACUCUGAGGAUGAAAGGAAAAAUCUUUCAAGUUUUCAGGCCAAAGGAACACACCGUUUACAAAGGAAAAAGAAUCACACUGGUAUCACAUUUGCUAUUUGCAACACCAAGAAGCGAGACUAUGGCAGAAGUUUAUCUGUAGACCAUUGAGGGAGAAAAGGAAAGCAACUCAAUGAUCCUAUACUCAGACUUUUAUUCGACAUAAUACUGGAAGUCCUAGCCAGAGCAAUUAGGUAAGAAAAAGAAACAAAAGUCAUUCAAAUUGGAAGGGAACAAGUAAAACAUCAGAUGACAUAACGUAAAAACCUCUAAAGGGGCACCUGGGUGGCUCAGUCGGUCAGGUAUCCUACUCUUGAUCUCAGCUCAGGUUUUUGGGUUUGUUUUUUGUCUUGUUUUUUUAAGAUUUAUUUAUUUUGAAAGAGAGAGGGAGGGAGAGAAAAUGCAAGAGGGGAGAGGGACAGAGAGAAUCCUAAGCAGGGUCCACACUGCCAGCGUGGAGCCCAGUGCAGGGCUCGAACUCAUGAACCACAAGAUCAUGACCUGAGCCGAAACCAAGAGUUGGUCGCUCAACUGACUGAGCCACCCAGGUGCCUUUUUAAAGUUUUUAAAUUUUUAAAGUUUUAAAAAUUUGGUUUCAGAGAGAGAGAGGGAGAAAACACAAGCGAGGGAGAGGCGGAGAGUCACCUCAGGUCUUGACCUCAGGGUCAUGAGUUCAAGCCCCACCCACAUUGGGCCCUGCUCUGGGCACGAAGCCUACUUAAAAACAAAACAAAACAAAAAAACAAAAUAACUCUAAAGCCUCCACCAAAACACUGUUAUACCUAAAAAACAAAUUCAGUAAAGUCAAUGAAAUAUCAGAAAAAGAAAUUAAGAAAACAUUCCCGUAUACAAUAGCAUCAAAAACAAUUAAAUACUUAGUAAUAAAUUUAAGAAGGUGAAAGAUUUGUGCACUCAAAACUAUAAGACGUUGAUGAAAGAAAUUGAAGAAGACACAAAUAAAUAAAAAAGUUCCAUGUUUGUGGAUUGGGAGAUGUAAUAUUGUUAAAAUGUGAUCUACAUAUUCAGUGCAAUUCAUAUUAAAAUUUCAGUGGCAUUUUUCACAAAAAUAGGAAAAACAAUCCUGAAAUGUGUAUGGAACCACAGAAGACCCCGAAUAGUCAAAUCAAUCUUGAGAAAGAAGAAUAAAGCUGGAGGCAUCACACUUCCUGAUUUCAAACUAUGUUACUAAGCUAUUGUAAUCAAAACAAUAUGGUAUUUGCAUAAAAACAGACACAUAGACCAAUAGAACAGAAUAGAGGCCAAAAAUAAACUCAUGCAUAUACGGUCAAUUAAUUUUUUACAAAGGUGCCAAGAAUGCACAAUGGGGAAAGGAUAGUCUGUUCAGUAGUGUUAGGAAAAUUGGAUAUCUCAUGUAAAAGAAUGACACUGGAUCCCUAUCUUAAACCAUACACAAAAAUCAACUCAAAGUGGAUUAAAGAAUUUAGUACAAGACCUGAAACCUUAAAAUCUUGCAAUGUAUAAUUGAAAUUUGCUAAGAUCUUAAGUAUUCUCACCCAAAAGGAAAGGUAGAUGUAUGAGGGGAUGCAUAUGUUAACUCAGUUGUGGGAAUGCUUUACAACAUAUAUCACAUCAUCACAUUGUGCACUUUAAAUACACUUAUUUGUUAAUUAGACCUUAAUAAAGCUGGAAGAAAAAAAAAAAAAAAGAAUCCUAUACCCAGACAAGAUCAGAAUAAAAAAAAAAAGGUAUUUGAGCAUAGAUAGUGAAAGAGCCUGUCCCCGCUGUCACCUGUUGCCCCUGGUACUUAAUGUGCUUAUGACUUUGCCUUGACUGUUCUAACACACCAAGUUCUCUGCUCA